rnacentral:rRNA from 1 species
UACGUAGGGUGCGAGCGUUGUCCGGAAUUACUGGGCGUAAAGAGCUCGUAGGCGGUUUGUCACGUCGUCUGUGAAAUCCUCCAGCUUAACUGGGGGCGUGCAGGCGAUACGGGCAGACUUGAGUACUACAGGGGAGACUGGAAUUCCUGGUGUAGCGGUGAAAUGCGCAGAUAUCAGGAGGAACACCGGUGGCGAAGGCGGGUCUCUGGGUAGUAACUGACGCUGAGGAGCGAAAGCAUGGGUAGCGAACAGGAUUAGAUAU